UACGUAGGGGGCAAGCGUUGUCCGGAAUCAUUGGGCGUAAAGCGCGUGUAGGCGGUUUGGUAAGUCCGCUCUGAAAGUCCGGGGCUCAACCCCGGAAGGCGGGUGGAUACUGUCAGACUAGAGUGCGGAAGAGGCGAGUGGAAUUCCCGGUGUAGCGGUGAAAUGCGCAGAUAUCGGGAGGAACACCAAUUGCGAAGGCAGCUCGCUGGGACGUAACUGACGCUGAGACGCGAAAGCGUGGGGAGCAAACAGG
rnacentral:rRNA from 2 species